GCUGAAUGUGGCGCUGCCCCGGGAUCUGCGGUUGGCCUCCCUCUGCGCUCUGCUGAGGCCUCGCUCUCGCUUUUCAGGGCUCCUUGGACUCUGCUGCUUCACUAGCUCUGGAUCUUGAUGAUUUUCUCGUUCUAAUGCGCUGGCUCCAGUGGAGAAAUACUGUCUGGUGCUCCUCCUGGGCACGAUUUACUGAGGAGCUAACUGGACCAAGUGGGAACUGCUGCCUGAGACCAUCUCAAAUUUUUGGAACUGCAGACUGUCAUCAGCCCUCAAUUUCUCAGACUUCUGGAUGCUGAAAAUAUUAUAAAGACAAUGUAUUUUGUGCAUCACUGCCAAGGCAUUUUGGAUCGUUGUUUGGAAGCUAUGUACUUGUGUCAGUAGUUACUAGUCUAUAUUAACCCGUGGACUCCUGAAGGGUUUUCCAGUGAUGGGUCCCUCAGUAUAGGAAUUUAAAGCUGUGAACUACAGGCUGGCUUUUUUAGUUAACAAGAUACUUGGGAAGUAUUAUUCUUGUCCAUAGCAUUAUUGUCACCAGAAAUCCCCAGGCAGCAGGUUGAAAACCACUGAUGUUAGGCUACUCAAUUAAAAAAAUGAGAAGGGGAGCCGUGGCACUGCAGGAGGAGGAACCACAAGGUGGCAAUCUCUCUCCGUAAUUCUACUGGCAAAAUGAACCUGUGGCAGAAAAUCUGUUAGCAACUGAAGCUCCAGACCCGGCUGGUCACAUCUUGUAUCUUACAGGUUCACUGCAACAUUCACUUCAAUGCUAGGUUUUCUCUUCUGAAUAUUUCAUCCCUUAGGAUGAAAUUUUCAUGCUUGAAAGAGGUGGUAUGGGAGGCUGAUUUUUGCUAGCUUUUCCAUGGCUUUGCCCCAAAAUGGGCACCAGAUGUAGCUCGUUAGAUUGCUAACUACUAGUGCUGCUUUCAUGCGUGCUGACCAAGCUACUGUGUGCAGUGGAAUGGAUGUUUCCUCCUUCACUGAAAGCACAAACUGUCUGUAGCAGCUGGCUCAGAGUAUCUCUUCCUAUCCUAAUGUUAUAUUAAUGUACAAUAUGAUAAGAUCCAGCCUCAUGCAGUGAGAUGCUUAGGCAGGAACAAAAUAACCUGGGUGUUAGGACUAGGUUAUAACCAGUAGGUUGAAUGUGGCAUGUGGUCUGGAACAGCUUGAGAGAUGAGAGGAUUGAUUGCAAAGCCCUAGUGACAAUAGCUCCACUCUGGAAAAGAUGUGGCUGGAGCAUGUAAGAUGCGGAAGAGAAAUAAUGCUCAGUUUAGGGUGAAGCUAUCUUGGUCCUGCUGCAUCGAACACCAUCUGUUGCUAUGAGCUCUGUCUAGAUCAGGACCCAGCUGCAUUAUUGCCAAAUGUUAGCUUACAUGUGCUAUGUGUGAAAGUAAACUGGUGCGAAAGCUGUGGCUUGAUUUGCUUUCAGUAGGAUUUGCCCUGCACAAGUGACGACGUGCUAGCCAGCCUCUUGCUGAGAGGAUGCACUCCAGAAGUUACAGGUGUGUUGCUGGAGCAUGUUCAAUGAUUCAAAAUGGAAAUAUCUUCCAAAGCUUCAAACAAGACAAAACAAACUGUGCUUUAACACAUGCUCAAUUGACUGAGUCUUUGGCAAAGUAUAACAUGAAUCUCUAAGGCUCUCACUGAGGCCUGUCCCAGCUGUAUCCUGCCUGCUGCAUCUUUGAGCAAGCAGUGAACUGCUGUGCUCAUUUUCUCCUUAUACUGCCGUCUCCUUCUUUUACCUGUUUUCUACUUAUGACAUUGCUCUUCUGUUAGGAAUAAUGUUGGUCCUCUAAGAAAGGGAGAGGGGCAGCCAGGGGAUUGCUACUGGGUGGAGGGGAAACGUUAGCAGUUCCAAAUCAUGAUGGGAAACAGCAGUAAAGAAAAUCUGGAUUUUUCCCCAGAAAGUGAGGAGAAAUCUAGCAAAAAUAUGGCUGGUGUCUCAUGGAGCAUGCGUGCAAAGUGAUCAUCACUAAUGCUGUGCAGCCAACUGAGAGCAGAUACUUUCCCCAAGUAAGAGAAAUAACCACUGAGAUGUGGGAUAUAUGAUAACUUCUUGAGCAGAAGGAAUAAGACCCCAGGCAAGGGAACUCUGAACAUUGCACUGUACUUUUUUUUUUCCAUCUAUGACUCUGCGGUGUUUAAUUAAACCCUGUUUUCUUUAUCCCAGAAACAAUCAUUGCAGGUUUGUAAAGCUUUACCCAAGCCCUCUGGGUGAUGACUUGUUAAGCACUUAGUUUGUGAUAACCAGUUUUCUCCUGAAAUGAUACCACAAGUCUGCUGUUUCAGGUUAAAGCUGAUUUCCAAGUAUUUUGGUUAAUGGCUGAAGACAAUCCGCUUCAAGAGAAUCUAACUCGAGGAAGCCAUGAAAUGUAAUUCAUUUCUGCAACCUAAAUAUAUAAUCAGCGACAUAUGGCAAUACUAAAUGGGGGGGGAGUCAUUGUUUAAAUCAAAUUUCUGCAUUCAGUCAAAAACCAAUAGCUGUAACAUCAAACUAUAGUUUCCAUUGUACAGGAAAUAAAGCAUCACUUUGUCAAAGAAAA